rnacentral:rRNA from 1 species
CCCUUAGAUGUUCUGGGCCGCACGCGUGCUACACUGGUGAAUACAACGAGUAUUACGACCUUGGCCGAAAGGUCUGGGUAAUCUGAUGAAAGUUCAUCGAGACUGGGAUUGAUCCUUGCAACUAUUGAUCAUGAACGAGGAAUUCCUAGUAAAGGCAAGUCAUCAUCUUGCUUUGAUUACGUCCCUGCCCUUUGUACACACCGCCCGUCGCUCCUACUGAUUGGGUGAUCCGGUGAGCUGUUCGGCCAUAGCAAUGUUUCUUGAGCAGGGCAAUGAAUGUUUCGCAAACCUUGCCACUUAGAGGAAGGAGAAGUCGUAACA